rnacentral:lncRNA from 11 species
AAGCCUGUUAAUGAUUUUUAAGGAAAAUAGAUACGGGCAAUAUACACAAGUCUGCGGUGCUACUUAUAUGAUGGCCCUCCAAGGAUGGCAUUGGAUAUCAGAACACAGAAAAGUUAUCGUUUAGACUAUAAUCCAAGAAUCCCCAUGUCAUCAUAGCAAUUGGUUGGAGAAUUUGAGGAGUAAUAACCCAAUAACUGGUAGAUAAACAGGGUCAUAGGCAUCUAUCUUGUUUAAUUUAUUUUUUAAUAACAAGAUUAUUAUCUGGCAGUAAAUGCUUUUUCCACUGGUAGACAAUGAAUGUAUGAACGGAAAUUGGACUUUUAAAUUUAUUUAUUUAAAGGUGCAAAGAGAUAGUUGUAUGUCCAGAUACUCUCUUUAUAUACCGUAGAUUAAGGAAUGCCCGCUUGAAGUUCCACUGCCUUCUAAUACAAAGUUAGGAAAUCUGAUGCUCUCUCAAAGUGCUAACAUAUUUAUACAUACAUUUAUACAUAUUUAUACAUAUUUAUACAUGGCUAUCAUGUCGCCUCUCCGCCUUCUCUUCUGCAGGCUAAACAUGCCCAGCUCUUUAAGCCGCUCCUCAUAGGGCUUGUUCUCCAGACCCCUGAUCAUUUUCGUUGCCCUCCUAUGGACACUUUCCAGCUUGUCAACAUCUCCUUUCAAUUGCGGUGCCCAGAAUUGGACAAGAUGAAGCUGUCAAAGACUCAAGAACAAGGCAGUCCUAGAAAACAGCAAAAAAGCAUGAACUGA